AUUGGCCUUUCUCCCUUACAUGCCCAGUUUUGGAACAUGUCAGCUUCUAUCCCAGGUGUCAUCCCAUGCACUUGAUAGGAAGUGGAGGUGGGAUAUAGGAAGAGAGCCACAGCAGCCUACCAGCCAGAGUCCCAAGCCGGUGUUUUAGAGGCAUGGUUUCAUGUACGCACAUCUUAGAACUAAAAUUACUUCAUGGAUGCCUGCUGCAAAGCUGAAGAAAACACCCAGAAGGCCAAAGCAGUGUCCAUAGGAUGCACCACUCUAUGGAAGAAGCAAACAAGUCAUGUACAUCCAGUACUCUGGGAAUGCAGGCUUCCCGG
rnacentral:lncRNA from 1 species